rnacentral:misc_RNA from 1 species
UAUUCUUAAUCUUGAAAACCAAUGACAACUUGUUCUUAUUAAAGGUCUAUUCCCGAACCACAACUAUUAUAUCCUAAAAAAACACCUGGAAAAAAAGAAUAUCAAAAUUUCUUGAGACUAAGCUCAUGAAAAUGUAAAAGUUAUCCAGAUUGAUCGCAAAAGCAGAUUCCUCACAUGUUUGAAUUCUUUGGGAACUGAUUUGAACCAUCUGAUCAUAAUUCAUAAUUGGGAAAGCAAGAACUCUGCAAAUUAUGCCUAGCAAAAAAGAGUUUCAAGGUUCUGGACCAGAAAUUUGAUUGUUUGAUAAUUUUCUGUUAAUUCAAAAUUAAUCCCUAACAUAUAUGCAUGGAACUUCACAUUAGAUCAUACAUUGCAUUCACAUGCCAAGAUAUUCCGAUAAAUUCAAUUGACUAAACAGUAUAAAACUACAGAUGCAUUUAUUAUCG